GUGCUCUUCAAAAGUUGAAUUUUAUCAUUGACAACAAACACUGUAGUUGUUUUCCUUGAAGUGACAGGCCCACUUGACUCAUUUUCAAGAUGUCUGUUAAGUACCCAAGUCUGAAGAAGCAUAGUUUGCCUG